GCUCAAAGCUCAGAACAAAGGCGCUUAUCUUAUGGAUAUAUCAAAGAAGAUAAGCGCCUUAGUUCUGAAGAUAAGC
rnacentral:pre_miRNA from 1 species